rnacentral:rRNA from 1 species
GACGAACGCUGGCGGCGUGCCUAAUACAUGCAAGUAGAACGCACAGUUUAUACCGUAGCUUGCUACACCGUAAACUGUGAGUUGCGAACGGGUGAGUAACGCGUAGGUAACCUGCCUGGUGGCGGGGGAUAACUAUUGGAAACGAUAGCUAAUACCGCAUAAUAUUGAUUAUUGCAUGAUAAUUGAUUGAAAGAUGCUAUUGCAUCACUACCAGAUGGACCUGCGUUGUAUUAGCUAGUAGGUGAGGUAACGGCUCACCUAGGCGACGAUACAUAGCCGACCUGAGAGGGUGAUCGGCCACACUGGGACUGAGACACGGCCCAGACUCCUACGGGAGGCAGCAGUAGGGAAUCUUCGGCAAUGGACGAAAGUCUGACCGAGCAACGCCGCGUGAGUGAAGAAGGUUUUCGGAUCGUAAAGCUCUGUUGUAAGAGAAGAACGGGUGUGAGAGUGGAAAGUUCACACUGUGACGGUAUCUUACCAGAAAGGGACGGCUAACUACGUG